rnacentral:rRNA from 1 species
UAGGGAAUAUUGCACAAUGGGCGAGAGCCUGAUGCAGCAACGCCGCGUGCACGAUGAAGGCCUUCGGGUCGUAAAGUGCUUUUCGGGGAGAUGAGGAAGGACAGUAUCCCCGGAAUAAGUCUCGGCUAACUACGUGCCAGCAGCCGCGGUAACACGUAGGAGGCAAGCGUUAUCCGAAUUUACUGGGCGUAAAGCGCGUGCAGGCGGUUCGGUAAGUUGGAUGUGAAAUCUCCUGGCUCAACUGGGAGAGGUCGUUCAAUACUGUCGGACUAGAGGAUGGUAGAGGGAGGUGGAAUUCCCGGUGUAGUGGUGAAAUGCGUAGAUAUCGGGAGGAACACCAGUGGCGAAAGCGGCCUCCUGGACCAUUCCUGACGCUCAGACGCGAAAGCUAGGGGAGCGAACGG